UUGGAGAGUUCAAGAGUCCAAUUAAGAAUUUCCAGCAACUCAGUGGAGUAAAGAAGGAAGAAUAACUCGACAGAAAGAGUUGUUGGGGAGAUUGGCAUACCUGAGAUAUCUGGAGAUGGCUAGAAACAAAGAAGAAACGUGGGGGCUACCAGUAUCAGCCAGGUCCUUGGUGCUGUCACAGCCCCACAAUAGCCAUCGCUCCCUGCAGCUUUCGCAGUGGAGGCCCCUCAGUGUUUGUUGGCAUGGACACCAGCACACACUGGCCACUUUCACCACUGAGGAAGGAGCUGCUUUUUUUUGCCAGCCUGGGACUAGGGUUUCCACUCAUCCCAGUCCCAUGCUCCAGACCCCAGUUCUGAGACUGAGUACCUGCACUGCGAAGGCCAGAACCACUACUGCAGUUUUAAGUUGAACUGGAAGAACACCCUGUGAAGAGGAAGGCAGAGAUUGGAAUGAUGCAGAAGAAGCCAGCGAAUCUAGGAGAGAGGCAUGAAUUUCCCCUUCAUAGUCCUUGUAAGGAGCCAACCCUGCUGCACCUUUAUCUCAAAUGUCCAGCUUCCAGAACUGCAAGACAGUAAAUUUCUGCUGUUUAAGACAUUCAGUUUUUGGUACUUUGUUAAAGCAGCCAUAGCAAACUAAUAUAUCCUUUAUAUCUCCUUUUUCUGUUGGGGUGAGUGGCAUUUGGGAAGGCAUAAGAACUGUAAGAAAGAUAUGGUAAUGAUAUCUACUUCAGAGAGUUAUUAAGAAAAUUAAAUAUGUUAAGGCAGCGGUCUCCAACAUUUUCGGCACCAGGGACUGGUUUAGUGGAAUAAAAUUUCUCCACAGACUGGCAUGGGGGGGUUGGUUUCCAAAUGAUUCAGUGCAUUACACUUAUUGUGCAUUUUAUUAUUAUUAUUAUACUGUAAUAUAUAGUGAAAUAAUUAUACAACUCACCAUAAUGUAGAAUCGAUGGGAUCCCUGAGCUUGUUUUCAUGCAACUAGACAGUCCCAUCUGGGGAUGAUGGAAGACAGUGACAGCUCAUCAGGUAUUAGAUUCUCAUAAGGAGAGCACAACCUAGAGCUCUUGCAUGUGCAGUUCACAAAACAUUUUGAGUUCCUAUAAGAAUCCAAUGCUGCCACUGAUCUGACUGGAGGUGGAGGUCGGAAGGUAACGCAAGUGGAGUUCAAAUGGUAAUGCAAGCGGUGGGGAGCGGUUGUACAAGUGAAGCUUCCCUAGCUCAAUCUCUGCUCACCUCCUGCUGUGAGGCCUAGUUCCUAGUAAGCCACUGACCAGCACCAGUCUGUGGCUUGGGGGAUGGGGACCCCUGAGUUAAGCAUAUAAAGUGCUUAGGAAAGUGCGUGGAGCAUAGUACUCAAUGUGUCUUACUUGUUAUUACCAUCCUUUUUCCAUUGAGCAAGCUACAUGGUAUUUUUGGAUGUAAAAGCAGAGGAUUAGACAAAAU
rnacentral:lncRNA from 1 species